ACGACAACGUUCUGAACAUCACUGGAAUAUGCAUACGAGCGCACGGACAUAUCGUAAUUGACUCGUCCGACAUUUCUCUGAGCGAAGGUGCCUUGUAACGACCUUUGCGAUGAUGCUCUAAACGACACCGCCAUAGUUUUUCUUCUUCCUCCUGGCGCUCAGCCGUAACCUCUUGUACGCGUUGUUUGUGUUUCUUUGUUUUCACUCGUUGGAUGUUCGGUGGUUACGCCAGGCUAUGACACAUGAUAAGUAGUCUUUAAUUGGAGUCAUUGGAUGAUUGUGUUAAACAUGUGGAGGUGCACUACCGAGGGACCAAGGUCCAUUGAGUUUAACUGUAUUGUUCAUAGCAUGGACUCUAACAUUGCAUGGGAAGGCCAGUCAGAUCAUUUUGAUUCAUUACUGAAUUAACAAAGAUUAUUGCUUUCAUUUGAUGUGUAUUUUUUCUUAUAAGUGUCCUUUUGUAAUUUAAAGUAAUGGUGAAUUAAUGGCAUAUUCUAUGGCACUGAAACUCUAAUUGGGAUGAGAGAGAAGAUUAUUAGAGAAAGAUGUGAUUGUUUUAUAUUUUCCUAAUUUCUUCCUCCAGACUGAAUAUUAACACUGGAACGAAAUACAUAAUGUCUGUUUGUAUUGUUAUCUAAAUAAAUAAUAUCUUAUCAGUAUCUAGAAAAACGUUCAAGUAGCCAUGAAGCUAAGCGUAAUCAGCACAGACAGACACAACAAGGAAAAAAGUUAAAUGAAAAUUUGAUGAUUUGGAAAGUUGAAUGAAAAAGUUGAAAAUUGACAUAGUGCAACCAGAAAGCUAUGAAAAGGAAGAUAAGUUAAAUUCUAAAAACUUCAUAAUAG